rnacentral:rRNA from 1 species
GUAGGUGGCAAGCGUUGUCCGGAAUUAUUGGGGCGUAAAGCGCGCGCAGGCGGGUUCUUUAAGUCUGAUGUGAAAGCCCACGGGCUCAACCGUGGAGGGUCAUUGGAAACUGGAGAACUUGAGUACAGAAGAGGAAAGCGGAAUUCCACGUGUAGCGGUGAAAUGCGUAGAGAUGUGGAGGAACACCAGUGGCGAAGGCGGCUUUCUGGUCUGUAACUGACGCUGAGGCGCGAAAGCGUGGGGAGCAAACAGGAUUAGAUACCCUGGUAGUCCACGCCGUAAACGAUGAGUGCUAAGUGUUAGGGGGUUUCCGCCCCUUAGUGCUACAGCUAACGCAUUAAGCACUCCGCCUGGGGAGUACGGCCGCAAAGGCUG